GCCAGGUGCAGUAUUGUGUACCUGCAGUCCCAGCUACUUGGGAGGUUAAGACAGGAGGUUUCCUUGAGCCUAGGAACUUGAAACUAUCUUGGGAUAUAUAGCAACCCUUUCUCAA
rnacentral:sRNA from 1 species